rnacentral:rRNA from 1 species
CCUACGGGAGGCAGCAGUAACGAAUCUUCCGCAAUGCGCGAAAGCGUGACGGGGCAAUGCCGCGUGUGGGAUGAAGCCCUUCGGGGUGUAAACUACUGUCAGGGUCUACCAACAACAUGAGGAGACCCAAAGGAAGAGCCGGCUAACUCUGUGCCAGCAGCCGCGGUAAUACAGAGGGCUCGAGCGUUAUUCGGAAUCACUGGGCUUAAAGCGUGCGUAGGCGGACUUGAAGGCGUUUUGUGAAAUCCCUCGGCUCAACCGAGGAACUGCUUGACGAACCACAAGUCUUGAGGUCGGUAGAGGCGGUCGGAACGAUAGGUGGAGCGGUGAAAUGCGUAGAUAUCUAUCGGAACGCCAAUGGUGUAGACAGGCCGCUGGGCCGCACCUGACGCUGAGGCACGAAAGCGUGGGGAUCAAACGGGAUUAGAUACCCCGGUAGUCCACGCCGUAAACGAUGCGCACUGUCGAGGAGUGACGCUUCUCGUCGUAGAAAUAGUAUAGUGCGCCGCCGUGGGUAGGUACGGUCGCGAGAUAAACUACAAGAAGUAGACGGCGUGAGACGUGCCGACGGACGACGACGAGGGAGGUAGG